rnacentral:lncRNA from 1 species
CUGAUUGGCAAUGCGAAGUUCUUUUAUAAUUGUAUUAUCUCUUAAUACUUGUGCUACACACUUGAUCCCCUCUCCAGUCAGAUAGUUUGAUUCAAUAUUCACAGAUUCUAGUGUUGAAUUUUCCCCCAACGCUUUGGCUAAUUCCUGCCAAACAAAAAGUACAAGUUGUUUAUAAUAAUACAUUUUAAUACUUUGAAUAAAAUGCCAAUACAGUACAACAAAUGUGUACUAGAAAGUACAGUCAUUUACAUCCUAUUACCCUGGGGCCGGUUGCUCAAAGGUGGAUUAUUGCUAACUCUGGGUUAAAAUUUAACCCGCUGUUUUAGUUUGUGUAUAUUUCUGCACGUCUGUUUAUUUCAAAACUUCAGAGAAGUGAACUCCUAUCGAUCCAGACAAGAUCUCAGAAGAAAUAUUUCCAAAUUUAUAGACAAGCUGUGAGGAUGUUUGCUUUGUAUUUUAGAUUAACCUAGGGUUAAACUAACCCAGCUUUCAACAACCGGCCCCUGAUGAUGAAGCUUUUGGUAUUAACACAUUGAGCACUAUCCCCUUGACAAGUAAAAUCAUCUGGCAUCAGACAGAGUAUUAAAAAUACCAAAUGUUUGUAAUAAAGUAUUUUCUACAACACAGCCAACUAGCCCUACAAAGUUUUAGAUCAAAAC